rnacentral:rRNA from 1 species
CAGUCGCCGCGGUAAGACAGAGGAUGCAAGCGUUAUCCGGAAUGAUUGGGCGUAAAGCGUCUGUAGGUGGCUUUUCAAGUCCGCCGUCAAAUCCCAGGGCUCAACCCUGGACAGGCGGUGGAAACUACCAAGCUGGAGUACGGUAGGGGCAGAGGGAAUUUCCAGUGGAGCGGUGAAAUGCGUUGAGAUCGAAAAGAACACCAACAGCGAAAGCACUCUGCUGGGACGACACUGACACUAAGAGACGAAAGCUAGGGGAGCAAAUGGGAUUAGAUACCCGGGUAGUCCCUGUCUCUUAUAC